rnacentral:snRNA from 1 species
GAAUGUGAGGGAGAUCUGGCUGUGACAUCUGUCACCCCACUUGAUCUGCAGGGUUAAUUCGGCUGAUUUGACUGGCUAGGCAGGUGUCCCCUUCUUCCCUCAGAGCUCCAUGUGCCUCCCUCCCAAAGCUGCUUGCUUGGUCAAAGAGGAAGGCCUUCCCUGAGUAAGAGACCUACUGGUCCUAGGUUGAGUAGUUGCACUCCCCUGCUAGAACCCUGAGAUAUUCCUUGGCCUCAGUGCUAGAACCCUGAGAUAUUCCUUG